rnacentral:rRNA from 1 species
CCUACGGGUGGCAGCAGUGGGGAAUAUUGGACAAUGGGGGAAACCCUGAUCCAGCGACGCCGCGUGAGUGAAGAAGUAUUUCGGUACGUAAAGCUCUAUCAGCAGGAAAGAAAAUGACGGUACCUGCCUACGAAGCCCCGGCUACCUCCGUGCCAGCAGCCGCGGUAAUACGUAGGGGGCAAGCGUUCUCCGGAUUUACUGGGUGUAACGGGAGCGUAGACGGCAGCGCAAGUCUGGAGUGAAAUGCCGGGGCCCAACCCCGGAACUGCUCUGGAAACUGUGAAGCUGGAGUGCAGGAGAGGUAAGCGGAAUUCCUGGUGUAGCGGUGAAAUGCGUAGAUAUCAGGAGGAACUCCGAUUGCGAAGGCAGUUCACUGGACUGCAACUGACACUGAGGCUCGAAAGUGUGGGUAUCAAACAGGAUUAGAUACCCCAGUAGUC